GUCGAACGCUGGCGGCGUGCCUAACACAUGCAAGUCGACAUGCGUGGCGAACGGGUCUGUAAUACGUGGGUAACCUGCCCUCUUAUUUGGGAUAAGCCUUGGAAACGGGGUCUACUACCUGAUAAAGGGGGAUGGGCUCGCGGCUUGUCAGUUUGUUGGUGGGGUGAUGGCCUACCAAGGCGGGGACGGGUAGCCGGCCUGAGAGGGGGAACUGCAACGUAGGGACGGAGAUACGGCCCAGGCGCGGACGGAAGGGAGCAGUUGGGGAUAUGGGACAAUGGGCGAAAGCCUGAUGCAGCGAGGCCGCGUGGGGGAUGAGGGCUUUAGGGUUGUAAACGUCUUGCGCUAGCGAACGGGUAGGUGGAGAAGAAGCGCCGGCUAACUACGUGCCAGCAGCCGCGGUAAUUC
rnacentral:rRNA from 1 species